CAUCUAAACAUGUAGAGUCAUAGUUCUAUCUAUUUUAGGACUGGGGUUCAAUUCCCCACGCCUCCACCA
rnacentral:tmRNA from 1 species